GCCUCAAUCCUAAGUAAGUUGGAAUUGACUAUAUUCAUCAUGUCUCUCCAUUUAAACCCGUGCACCUAUGCUGUCUUUGAAUAAUACUCGUCCAUAGUAGGACGAGUAUUAUCUGAUGACGUCAGAGUGGGAGGAGAAUGUACAACCCUACCCUGACCAGCAAAAUUCUUCUCCAUGACCAUCGUUUUACUGGUUGUGCUGCUACUUCCAGUACCGGGGUUCGGCGUCGGAGUAUGAACAGGAUUGUAUAAAGAUGAUAACAAAAUAUUUUUGUUGUAAUUUGUCUCUCUAACUCUUUUUUCUAAAAGAACCCUAGUGGCUUCUCCAUGUGGUAUUAAUAUGAGCAUGCUAAAUAUUAUCAAGAAAAUAGCACUAAUUUGGAGUUUCAUGUCGAUCGAGUUUUUCAAAUUGCGAGGUAUAUCGACAGAAAAUAAAUUGUACGAAUCGAAUGUGUCGAAUGGAUGAGAGAAGGUGGGAUUACUUUGAAUAAAAAAAAUGUUUUAAAU
rnacentral:lncRNA from 1 species